rnacentral:tRNA from 1 species
GCAAGCAUGGUGUAGUGGUUUGCAUGUUGGACUGCAACUCCAGAGACCAGGGUUCAGUUCCCAGCUCAGCCA